CAGGGGGGUGGGGGGUCCCUCAGCCUGGAUUGCAAGAGUGUGCAGGCCAGGCCAAGAGACCCCACCAGUGCAUG
rnacentral:pre_miRNA from 1 species